AGGUGUCUUUAGGCCUCACGCUGUUGCUGUGAGGAUCCAUGGAGAUUGUCUACAUGGAAGGGCUUUGAAAUUUGAAAAGCAGAAAGAGACCUUCACCAAAUAUUUGUUGAGGACUUCCUAGGUGGAUGAGAGGGCAAUACAGGAGCACUUGAAACCCUUUCCUUCUUGGAGCAUUUACUUUAUACACGUGUAUAGAGUGUAUAUAUAGAGCAACCACCAAAUGACAAGGCUGAGCAAAGUUAACUUGAAUUAAAUAAAAAAACCAGAGUGCUCAGACAAAGGAGGAGUUGCUGCCGGCUAGAGGGUCAGAGAAGGCUUCCUGGCCCUUGAGACAUGGAAGGAAUGGAAAAGAGUCUAUUCCAUGGAGAGAGACAGCUAUGAACAAAGAUGCAGGGCCGGGUGAGGCCAGUUGGAGCCAGAACCCCAAGAAUCCCAGGUUCACAGGAAUGGGGAACCAGCAGGAGGGUUCUGUCCACAACAGACUGGGAGAUGGUUGGAGUGUAAGCAACAUGACCUGCAGGUGAUGGAACCCACUGGAAACCAGCAGAGACGCCAGUCCAGAGAUGGCAGGGCCUGAGCUCAGCGAUGCUGAGAUGCAGGGGACCACAGGGGCCCAGGAGAGCCUCUGGAGGAUGACAGGACUGGCUGCAGGUGAAAUCCCGGAACAGUGUGCCCGGUGACAGUAUGAACUGGAUAGAGGGCUGCCAUGAUGGUCCUUAGAAUGCUCAGGGAAGCAGAGGAACGUAAUAUUUGUUCAUCAGUGACUGAGAGCUUUGCGGGCUUCAGUCUAUCCAGUGUUCACAAACCUUUAUGAGCCGAGGGCUGUUUUCGCCUCUGGUUUACAGGUGAGAAAAAUGAGGCUCAAAAAGGUUCAUUAACUUGCCCAGCAUCCUACAGCUGGGAGUUGUGGAACUGGAAUUCAAACCCAGGCCUUCCAACCCCAAAGCCUAUAAAGUUUAUUCAAAGAUGUAUUUAAUAACAAUUUAAUGUAAAGUACUCUUGAAUUCUUUUUUUCUUUUUCAUUUACAGUAUUUCAAACUUUUUAAACCUACCAUAAAAAUGCACAGAUUGUGGACGUUGAUUUUGAUGAAUUUUGACAACUGCAUCCAUCUGUGUAAGCACCACCCAAAACAAGAUGUAAAACAUUUCCUUGAUCCCAGAACAUUCCUUUAAGCCUUUUUCCUGUCAGUUCCUCUCCCGACCCCCAGGGAACACAUUCUGAUUUCUAUCUCUGCAGUUUGCCUGCUGUCAAUUCCCUACGAUCAGAGUGUGUCAUCUACUGUGUCUGGCUUCUCUCACUCAGCACGUUUUGCAAGAUUCGUCCACCUUAUUGAGAGUAUUAAUAAUUCAAAGCACUUUUUAACUCUGAUCCCCUGAGGGGCAGGUGAGUACUGUGUGGGUAAGACAUUUUUAGAGUAUCAGUGGGCUGUCCCUCUUGGCUUUCUGAGAAGCUAACCUUCAUUUUGGACGAUAGCUUGUUGUCAUUGUUGGUUUUUUCCAGGGCAAUAACUUUUAUCCAACAGCACACUAAAUAAAUAUGUUGAAAUCGGUGAUAUUUUGACCUCCAGGCAGGCAAAAACACAUCAGCCAUUUAACCAACAUGACAGUGUCUCAUCAAAGAAGACCGAAUGGCACAGAUUUGAAUUGUUCACCACGUUUGCACGAACCCCGUUUAACUGGGCUAGUAAGCCCGUCCAGGAAGAUGCAGAGCAACACGUCCUAUGACUCUCGGCUCUUGUUACCACUGCGUGAUUCCGACAUCUCCAAGAACCCUUGUGCUCAGCCUUUAUUUCUCCCUAAUUAUGUUUAUCUGUAUAUUCCUUGAAGUGCACCUUGAGAGCAAAGUAAUUGUGAGCCCAAAGGUUGAAACCUUAGUGAAGAAAGCAUGAAGCAAGAAGGAUGAACUUAUAAGGCAUGGUUCCCUCCCAGCCUUCUUCCCUGGACCCCUCUUGCUCCUUUGGAGACAUUUGUCCAGGUGCAAGCACUGCAGCAGAGGGUCCCAGGUCCCAGGUCCCAGCCUGUCUCAAAACCGGGCAUUGGCUCCAUCGAAGAAAACCAGGCCAGGCCCAAAGGAGGGAGGCCCUGGCGUCUAGCUCCCCGGAAGCGUCUUCAGGUGCCACUGCCGGGGCCCGUGGCCUGGCGAGAGCCCGUCUUGCAGGACCAGAGGUGCUGCCCCAGACUCAAGAUCCUUGGUCACAGCGGCACAGACCUCAGAGGACAUUCCCCCGGGACCUGGAGAGAAGGACCUCACCCUAAGGACCCCACCUUCAGGGCAAGCCCCCAACACCCUAGGCGGCGCUCACGAUGUGCCCUUUCUCAGCCCCUAAUCCACAAUCAAUGCCCCAGGACAGCGCCCCCGCAGGACAAGCCUCAGCCCAUCUCUGUGGUUUUCCUGGGCCCGUCUCCGUGUUCUUCCAAAUCCACACACUCUUGAGAGUAAAGCACUACUGUGCAGUUCGGGAGGGACUCUUGGCGGCUUUACAGACAUCCCUUUUCUCUAACUCAUCACCUUCCUGUCAUCACAGCCACCACUCACCUUCUAAGCGUUAUUUCCAAGCAUCCCUUACGCAUCACAAGUUGAUGUUUGCAGAACCAGCCACCUUCACAUCAGGCAGCUCUGAGGAAACCCCACCUAGACUCAAGAGUCCUUAAAUGGGACCUUUCUGACGACCUGGUUUCCACCCCGACCUCCCAGUCCCACUUUACCUAGAGAGAAAGAGGGCCCAGGAAGAUGAAAUGGCGGGUCCAUCCUGCCCAGCAAGCUUCCUCUCCCCGCGGCUCCUGCCACAGGCUGGGCCAGGCCCCUGCCCACAGAUGUGGAUUAAUCGAGGAUUAAUCGACAGAAGUGCUUGGAGCGCCAUCAGAGGUGGGGACCCAGGAGCAGUGAGAUGCUCGCCGCACAGGUGCUCCCAGGAGGUGCCUGGAAGGGAUGGAGACAGGGGCACUGGGGGCGGGCAGCCGUGCAGGGGCCACCUCCGCGGACCUCGGCCUGACCCAAGGGAGCUACGGAGUGCAAGUCACCUUGCGCGUCCUCUGCCCAGAGCAGGGGAGCCAGCCCCCCAACCCGCACACCGUCAGUCCCGGGACAGAAACACCCGUGAAACGUACAUGUGGGGGCAUAAACCAGUCCAUUCCUCUUCUCUGUUGUGCAUCUGCUGCUCUCUGUGUAUUUGGGGAGGGGCUCCAGUGGCCUCAGGGCAGCUCCCUGAAGAUCACAGACGUCCGGGGUGGGGGUGGGGGGGCCGCGGUGGGGGAGCUGCGCUCACCCCUGGGGACCAGCCCCCGCCUCCCUCCCCCUCCCCCCUUCCUCCCCCUCCCCCCCCUUCCUCCCCCUCCCCCCCCUUCCAGGCCUUGGCCGUUUAUGCCACACAGCGCCCCGUGAGGUUGGGACUGGUAAUGCAGUUCCCAUUCUACAAUAGACGGGGCCGUCAGGGCGCACGGAAGUUAAAACACUUGCUCCAAAUUGCUUAGCUAGUAAGUGUCAGGGGAGGGUUUCCAACCAGAUCCUCCAGACUGUCAGCUCCUAGCCACCCAGCAAGGCUCAGGACAGCGUGUAGAGCAUGACCCCUAGGGAAAAGAAAACAAACCUGGUUAUUUGUGGGUAUGUGUGCGUGGGUGGGGGAGGAGAUAGCCAGUGCUAGCUUACACAAAAGACUGCAGAGUGUGUGCGUGUGUGUGCGUGUGUGUGUGUGUAAAAUUCCAUCUAAAUGAAGCUCUAGAACAGGCAAAAAUAAUCUGUGGUGGAAAAAUAUCAGGUUGGAAAGGGAGGUAGGCUCUUUCCGGAGUGUUCUAUUUCUUGUAUUCUUGAUGGUGUCUGCAAUUGACUCUGAAAUAUGCCCUCAAAAAAAAAAAAAAAGAGUUGAUGUGGGCCUUUGAGGGAAACCCUGAAAGCUUUGACUUCUGUCUCAUUGGAGAACUUUGGUGCCAUGCUGAUUUCCUUCUGUGUCAUUUCGUGACCAACCUUGUUUGAUUUACCCAAGUAUUUUCUGGGUCUAAUUCUUUGUUGGAGGCUAGAACUGACAUUUGUUAAUGUGAUGGUUAAGUGGAAUUAAAUGACAUAAUGCAAGGCUGGCAUCUUAAGUGCUCACUUAAUAUUGUUAUUAUUUCCUAACAAGUAAAAAUAUUUGGAUAA